rnacentral:rRNA from 1 species
AAUCAACGCUGGCGGCGUGCCUCAGACAUGCAAGUCGAACGAUUAAAGCUCUCUUCGGAGAGUGUAUAGAGUGGCGCACGGGUGAGUAACACGUAAGUAAUCUACCCUCGAGUGGGGAAUAACGUCCGGAAACGGACGCUAAUACCGCAUAAUGCAGCGGCACCGCAAGGUGACAGUUGUUAAAGAUUUAUCGCUUGAGGAGGAGCUUGCGGCAGAUUAGCAGUUGGUAAGGUAAUGGCUUACCAAGGCUACGAUCUGUAACCGGUCUAAGAGGACGGUCGGUCACACUGACACUGAAUAACGGGUCAGACUCCUACGGGAGGCAGCAGUCGGGAAUUUUGGGCAAUGGGCGAAAGCCUGACCCAGCAACGCCGCGUGAAGGAUGAAGUAUUUCGGUAUGUAAACUUCGAAAGAAUGGGAAGAAUCAAUGACGGUACCAUUUAUAAGGUCCGGCUAACUACGUGCCAGCAGCCGCUGUAAG